rnacentral:sRNA from 1 species
CACCGCCUGGGGAGUACGACCGCAAGGUUAAAACUCAAAUGAAUUGACGGGGACCCGCACAAGUAGUGGAGCAUGUGGUUUAAUUCGAAGAUACGCGCAGAACCUUACCAACACUUGACAUGUUCGUCGCGACUUUAAGAGAUUAAAGUUUUCGGUUCGGCCGGACGAAACACAGGUGCUGCAUGGCUGUCGUCAGCUCGUGUCGUGAGAUGUUGGGUUAAGUCCCGCAACGAGCGCAACCCUCACUUUUAGUUGCCAUCAUUAAGUUGGGCACUCUGAAAGAACUGCCAGUGAUAAGCUGGAGGAAGGUGGGGAUGACGUCAAGUCCUCAUGGCCCUUACGUGUUGGGCUACACACGUGCUACAAUGGCAUUUACAAUAGGAAGCAAGAUGGCGACAUCAAGCAAAUCCUAAAAAGAUGCCUCAGUUCGGAUUGUACUCUGCAACUCGAGUACAUGAAGCUGGAAUUACUAGUAAUCGCGGAUCAGCGCGCCGCGGUGAAUACGUUCCCGGGUCUUGUACACACCGCCCGUCACACCAUGGGAGUUGGUUCUACCUUAAGGCAAGGUUUUAAACCCUUGACCACGGUAUAGUCAGCGACUGGGGUGAAGUCGUAACAAGGUAGCCGUAGGGGAACCCGCGGCUGGAUUACCUCCUUUCUAAGGAUGAUUAAGAGUUAAUUCUUAAUCUAAAAAAUAUAACAGGCUAAUGUUGACCGUCCUCAUUUCUCUUCUUAAAAUUUGUGUUUCACUCUUCAGCGAUAAGGGCCGGUAGCUCAGUUGGUUAGAGCACACCCUUGAUAAGGGUGGGGUCGAAAGUUCGAGCCUUUCUCGGCCCACCAAAACUACUGGGGGAUUAGCUCAGCUGGGAGAGCGCCUGAUUUGCAUUCAGGAGGUCAGCGGUUCGAUCCCGCUAUCCUCCACCAAGAAACACUUAGUUAUUAAAAUUCGUAAAUUAUAUUUUAAAUUAUCAAUAUCUAUAUCCGAUUGUUUUAAAGUUAAAAACAAUCAAUAAAUAUUCGAAUAGAUGAAUAUUUAACAAAAUUUAAUUCAACACAGAAUUUUUUUCUG